rnacentral:rRNA from 1 species
UGGAGCAUGUGGUUUAAGUCGAUGAUACGCGAGGAACCUUACCUGGGCUUUUAUGCAGAACUAUAGGCUGGGUAACCGGCCCUUCUUCGGACGGACUGCAAGGUGCUGCUAUGGUUGUCGUCAGCUCGUUCCGUGUAGGUGUCGGGUUAAGUCCCAUAACGAGCGCAACCCCUAUCACUAGUUGCCAGCGAGUAAUGUCGGGGACUCUAGUGAAACUGCCCGUGCAAACGGUGAGGAAGGUGGGGAUGACGUCUAAUCAUCACGGCCCUUACGUCCAGGGCUACACACGUGCUACAAUGGCGCAUACAAAGGGCAGCUACCACGCGAGUGGAUGCUAAUCUCUAAAGUGCGUCUCAGUUCGGAUUGAAGUCUGCAACUCGACUUCAUGAAGCUGGAAUCGCUAGUAAUCGCGCAUCAGCCAUGGCGCGGUGAUACGUUCCCGGGCAUUGUACACACCGCCCGUCAAGCCAUGGAAGCUGAGGGUGCACUGAAGUCAGUGACCGAAGGAGCUGCCUAGG